AUUGAACGCUGGCGGCAUGCCUUACACAUGCAAGUCGAACGGUAACGGGCCUUCGGGUGCCGACGAGUGGCGAACGGGUGAGUAAUGUAUCGGAACGUACCUUUCAGUGGGGGAUAACGUAGCGAAAGUUACGCUAAUACCGCAUAUUCUGUGCGCAGGAAAGCAGGGGAUCGCAAGACCUUGCGCUGAUUGAGCGGCCGAUAUCAGAUUAGCUAGUUGGUGAGGUAAAGGCUCACCAAGGCGACGAUCUGUAGCGGGUCUGAGAGGAUGAUCCGCCACACUGGAACGGGGCCACGGCCCAGACUCCUACGGGAGGCAGCAGUGGGGGAUUUUGGACAAUGGGGGCAACCCUGAUCCAGCCAUGCCGCGUGAGUGAAGAAGGCCUUCGGGUUGUAAAGCUCUUUCGGCCGGGAAGAAAUCGCAUGGGCUAAUACCCUGUGCGGAUGACGGUACCGGCAUAAGAAGCACCGGCUAACUACGUGUCAGCAGCCGCCGUAAUAC
rnacentral:rRNA from 1 species